ACUCUACUCCCUCCGUCCGGAAAUACUUGUCCUAGAAAUGAAUGAAUCUAGACUUAUUUUAAUUAUAGAUACAUCAAAUAUAUUUAUUUUUAGGACAAGUAUUUUCGGACGGAGGGAGUAUGAA
rfam:Hordeum vulgare subsp. vulgare, WGS project CAJW01000000 data, contig: morex_contig_40189